rnacentral:rRNA from 1 species
UGUCUAUUAAUUGUAGACUCGUAUGAAUGGCAAAAUGAGAGCCCGACUGUCUCUUAUAACAAAUCAAUUAAACUGAUCUCUCAGUACAAAAGCUGAGAUUCUCACAUAAGACCAGAAGACCCUGUGAAGCUUUAACUAAACUAUUAAACCCCUUAAUAACUAUUUUUGGUUGGGGCGACCUUGGAACAAAAAAGAACUUCCAAAUACAUGACCUUCUCACACCAAGGCAAACAAGCCACAUUUAGACCCAGAACUUUCUGAUAAAUGAACCAAGUUACUCCAGGGAUAACAGCGCUAUCUUCUUCAAGAGCCCAUAUCAAAAAGAAGGUUUACGACCUCGAUGUUGGAUCAGGACAUCCUAGCAAUGCAACCGUUACUAAGGGUUCGUUUGUUCAACGAUUAAUAGU